CAGGCCUAACACAUGCAAGUCGAACGAGACCUUCGGGUCUAGUGGCGCACGGGUGCGUAACGCGUGGGAAUCUGCCCUUGGGUUCGGAAUAACCAGGAGAAAUUCUGGCUAAUACCGGAUGAUGACGUAAGUCCAAAGAUUUAUCGCCCAGGGAUGAGCCCGCGUAGGAUUAGCUAGUUGGUGUGGUAAAGGCGCACCAAGGCGACGAUCCUUAGCUGGUCUGAGAGGAUGAUCAGCCACACUGGGACUGAGACACGGCCCAGACUCCUACGGGAGGCAGCAGUGGGGAAUAUUGGACAAUGGGCGAAAGCCUGAUCCAGCAAUGCCGCGUGAGUGAUGAAGGCCUUAGGGUUGUAAAGCUCUUUUACCCGGGAUGAUAAUGACAGUACCGGGAGAAUAAGCUCCGGCUAACUCCGUGCCAGCAGCCGCGGUAAU
rnacentral:rRNA from 1 species